rnacentral:lncRNA from 1 species
GCUAGAAGGAUUGGAGCUCCAAAUACGGUAUCAUCUGAAGUAGGCGAGCCUUGCAGUUCUCGAAACCAUCAAUAAAUUCAUCGAUGGCAAUGUCAAUGGCCUCCCUCUUAAACUCUGUAGAGUUUCGGUACUCCUGAAUUUAGCAGGUUCGAAUGUCAAAAAAAAAUUGCUCGAAUUAGGGGGUGUAUGUGUUGGGUGGAUGUUUGGCCAGGACACUAUCUCCCAAGAUCCUUUCAGUACCACGCGAUGCAGCAAGA